rnacentral:lncRNA from 1 species
UUUUUUUUUUUUUUUUUUUUGUCUUUUCUAGGGCUGCACCCACGGCAUAUGGAGGUUCCCAGGUUAGGGGCUCGAAUCAGCGCUGUAGCCAUGAGCUUAUGCCACAGCCACAGCAACUCGGGAUCUGAGCUGCCUCUGCGACCAACACCACAGCUCACAGCCACGCCAGAUCCUUAACCCACUGAGCAAGGCCAGAGAUCGAACCCACACCUCAUGGUUCCUAGGCGGAUUCAUUAACCACUGAGCCAUGACGGAAACUCCCAGUCUUCUUAAUGUUUUUUAGAAUAUAUAUAUCUUAUCCAGGGAUUUCAGUUGAAAUUAGAAGAAUAGGGAAAAAUAUGCCUACUCCAUGUUCCCGGAAGUGGAAGUCCUUCCUAACACUUUUGAAAAAGGCAUAUCUGACCAUGUGACUGGCUGGUUAAAAUCCUUCAAUGGCUUCUCAUCAGUGAGAAUAAAGACCAAAACCCUUGGAGGGGCUCUACUGAACACUCUUGCAAGACCUUGCCCCUACCAGUGGCAAAUGUUUAACAAAUGAUUCUAGGAGAGUAAGGGGACUCCUGGUUGGUAGUGUUUACUGAUUUCCAUGGUGUAAAUACCAUGAUUACGGCCAGUUUCAAGCCACCAACAUGCCAUUGCUACAUAUGGAACUGGCAAGAGAUGCUAACAAUUGAUUCUUGUACAUCAUUACAGAUUUUAUUUUAUUUUAUUUUAUUUUUUUGUAUUUUUGUAUUUUUGCUAUUUUCUUGGGCCGCUCCCGUGGCAUAUAGAGGUUCCCAGGCUUGGGGUUGAAUCAGAGCUGUAGCCGCCAGCCUGCGUCACAGCUACAGCAACAUGGGAUCCGAGCCGCGUCUGCGACCUACACCACAGCUCAAGGUAACGCCAGAUCCUUAACCCACUAAGCAAGGCCAGGGAUCGAACCCGCAACCUAGUCGGAUUUGUUAACCACUGAGCUAUGACGGGAACUCCCAGAUUCAUUUUAUAUCAGUUUCUCUUCAUGUUCCAGCCAUUCCAGGCUUCUUUAUGAAGGCACUGUGCAUUCUCCAGCUUCCAGCCCCUUCUGCAUGCUGUUGGCUCUACCUGGAGUGCCACCUUCCUCCACAUCCUUCGGUGUGGGCAAGUGCUGGAGCCAGCUUGCAUCAGCUUUACAGGAGCAACUGUUAAACUUUCAGGAAAUUUGCAAUCUGGAUGCUAAAGCUACAAAUCAGGGCCUCCUUCCUUCCUUCCUCCCUCCUUCCCUUCUUUCAUUCUUUCAGAACUGUUUUAUUUAUUUUUAACAUUUACCAGCACACCACCUCAUCUACUCCUUCAAUCUCAAACCUCUAAGAGGACUCCCCUUCCCUCCAGACUGUCUUUCUGCUUCAAAGCAUGCUGUACUUCCCCUUUCCUAAAAUGCAUUGGAAUUAUCAUUAACUGACCAUGGCUGCUCUUGCUACACACCAUAAAUCCAAUGAUGAAAGCGGACUUUUGCAAGUACUUAAAAUAUCAGAUGCCUUUUUAUCUAGAUCAGCAUGGUGUAGGUGACACACAGCAGGUUCUGUAGAUAUUUUAGAAAUAUUUGGGGAAUGAAUGGAUGCAUGAACUGACUAGAACUAAAGUAAAAUUACAACCUACUGCAAAGUAAACUAAGUAAAAUUAUGAAGGCUAGGGAUCUAUGGAGUCUACAAAAACUUUUCUAGGUUUAUGCAGCAAGAUCUAGCACACAGAACACCAUGGCCAAUCAUUACAGCAAGGUAAAUCGCCAAGGGAGAGAUCAGUACAUGAGGUUUUUAUAGUUUAAAGAAACCUUCCCAUUGCAGCUCUUUACAAAGCAAACAGCUUGCAAAUUGGUGCUGCUUCCUCUCAUGUAUCCCUACAAUACUGUCCUCCCACAUGGCUUAAAAACCUAAAAACAAAAAACUCCUUAAAGGGAUUCCUGUUGUGGCUCCGUGGACUCGACUAGCAUCCACGUGGAUGCAGAUUCAAUCCCUGGCCUCGUUCAGUGGGUUAAGGAUCCAGAGUUGCCAUGAGCUGUGGUGUAGAUUGCAGACAUGGCUGGGUUCUGGUGUUGCUGUGGCCAUGAUAUAGAGCAGCAGCUGCAGCUCCAAUUCCACUCCUAGCCUGGGAACUUACAUAUGCCGCUUACUCCUUAAAAAUAGGAGUUCUCGGGAAUUCCCGUCGUGGCACAGUGGAAAUGAAUCCGACUAGGAUCCAUGAGGUUGUGGGUUCAAUCCCUGGUCUUGCUCAGUGGGUUAAGGAUCCGGCUGUGCGCGGGCUGCAGGUCGCGGCCGAGGCGGAGGAAACAGCCGCCGCCCCUGCGGAGGGAGUGAGGCCGGGGGCUUCCCGAGGAAGGGCGAUGAGAGCGAGUCCUUUCGAACAUUUCCACCCGGCUCUCUC